UUCCAUUUCCGAUGUUUUGUUUGUGUUAGUUUUUUUUUUUGGUUUUUUUUGUUUGUGUUGGUUUGGGAUAGUGAUAAUAGUGCUGUGUGAGUUUAUUAUAUAGCUCAUGGGGGAAGGGGGUUGGUGGCUCUUUUGGUAUUUUUCAAGGGAAAAUAUUUUUUAAAUCUGUGACAGUGUGAGUGAUCAAUGAAAUGCCAUUGAGUAUUGAAUUAACUACCUGGUCAAAGUAUAAGGGAAAGGAAAUGCAACCCCUGUUGGAAAUAUGUAAAAUGAGG
rnacentral:lncRNA from 1 species